GACCGGCGGAAGACGGCCCUCGCACGCCACCCGCUCCCAGCGACCGCUCCGGGACCCACCUGCUCCAUGUCAGCCACGGCCCCGGCUCUUCCCGCCCCAACCGCAGUCCGGCUCCGCGGCCUCAGUAGCGCCUCAGAGCGGAAGAAGAUCUUCCGGCAGCGCCACUUCCGCCGCUGAGUCCGCCCCCGAGAGCGAAGCGGGACUUGCGUUCGCCUGCGGCCCCGCCCCUUCGCCCCGCCUCCAGCCCCGGCCCUGCGCAGAAGCGGACUCAAAGGCCGGAGUCUAAGGGCCUACCUAAGGAUGGGGUUUCACCAUGUUGGCUGGACUGGUCUUGAACUCCAGACCUCAAGUGAUCCGCUAGCCUUGGCAUCCCAAAGUGCUGGAAUUACAGGCAUGAGCCACCGCACCCAGCCACCUGCUGCUUUUCCUGAGGGAACAGUCUCCUCUCACCCCUCUUCCACUGUUUUGGAGGGGUCUCAGUGAGGACUGAUUCAGGUCUUCCAGCUGUCUCUUGCCCACAAAGGGACUGAAGCCCAGCAACAGCUUUUGCCCCCAUGGCCAAUCUCUUCACUGCCAGAUAUGCAGGCAGGAGGCCCAAGGCCUUUUGUUUGUGUGGAAGAGCUGACAGCUUCUAGUAGGGGUGGUUGACUCUUCAGUAUUCCCAUAAAUAAUGAGACUAAAAAGGUUAA